GAAACCCAGUAACUGUCCGGGAACCAUUCCCCUUGGCUGAAUCGUGUUGGAACACAGUGUUACCCCGCAUAGCUCUGCCCUGGGUACUCCUGGUGAUUCCACCCUGCCCACUGCAGAAGUGUUCCAGGAAGGAGCGGUGGGGACCAACGGCAAUGGGUGGAGAACAGCAGUAACAGGCAACAGUGACUGUCACCAACGGGAGGAAACUUGAAGCAACAGACAGAAAAUUCUGGGGACAUCUAAAGAGACCAGAGAACCAACAGAAACCUCCAGAAGGCUCCAGAAAGCUGCUGAAGGGGCUAGGAACCUUGACUGCUGAGGAGGUGAAAGGAUUACUUGUUGGUUUUCGACAAAUGAAACCAACUAAAAUGUCCUACGCUCAGAAAUGAAGCUUAGAAUCUUUUGAAGGUGACCGUCUGGUCACAACUACCCAGCUGCAGAGCACGCACCACGCCUCUGCCGCCCAGCACCUGAACAAGGGGCAGGCGCCAAUUAAAAGGAAGCAAGCAGGUAGUGCGCAGGCCUGGCUACAUCUUUUGUGGAGUCCAUUGUAAGAUGCACAUAGGAGAGGAGGGGCAUGGAGGGUGUUCCGUGACCAAAACAUGAAGCUGCAUUGAAGUUAGCAGUGUAAUACCUGUUUUGAUUUAUUAGAGAAAUGUUCUAUUUGCUAAAUUAAUACUGUCAAACAAUUGUUAAUUAUUAAUAUAAAUUUUAUUGUUGAUAUUUAUUUUGUUCCUAUCGCUUUCUAUGGAAAGGUAAGAGCACUUACU